rnacentral:tRNA from 1 species
GGGCCGGUAGCUCAGCUUGGUAGAGCAUUUGCCUUUUACCAGGCAAGAAAAAAAAGAUCCUGCCAUCCGGCCCG